GACGAACGCUGGCGGCGCGCCUAACACAUGCAAGUCGAACGAGCGAGAGAGAGCUUGCUUUCUCGAGCGAGUGGCGAACGGGUGAGUAACGCGUGAGGAACCUGCCUCAAAGAGGGGGACAACAGUUGGAAACGACUGCUAAUACCGCAUAAGCCCACGGCUCGGCAUCGAGCAGAGGGAAAAGGAGCAAUCCGCUUUGAGAUGGCCUCGCGUCCGAUUAGCUAGUUGGUGAGGUAACGGCCCACCAAGGCGACGAUCGGUAGCCGGACUGAGAGGUUGAACGGCCACAUUGGGACUGAGACACGGCCCAGACUCCUACGGGAGGCAGCAGUGGGGAAUAUUGCACAAUGGGGGAAACCCUGAUGCAGCGACGCCGCGUGGAGGAAGAAGGUCUUCGGAUUGUAAACUCCUGUUGUUGAGGAAGAUAAUGACGGUACUCAACAAGGAAGUGACGGCUAACUACGUGCCAGCAGCCGCGGUAAGAGUGUGUGUAC
rnacentral:rRNA from 1 species